AGAAAAUCAAAUUUGUCGAAAAAUACAACGCCUUUUUUGUACAAUUUAAUGCAUUUUGUUGUGGAGGGUUAUAUAUUUUUGUGUGAAAUUUUAUUCAUGGAAAACAUGUUUGUUUCUAAAAAUCUAAAAAAAAUAACAAAAAAUAUUAAAUAAAAAAAGCAUUUUUUUUUAAAUAUUCACAACUUAUAUAUCGAUUUUACCCCUGCGCGGAUUUUACCUUAGAAGCUAUUUGCCACAAUCAUGAUGCCCCACAUGUACAAAAUGUGUGGUCUAGAUUGGAUUCUACAUACUAUCUCGCUUGUAGCAGUGCACGUGUAUAUUGCAUAUAGAUAUAUACACGUGUAUCAAUUUUAUCAAGAAACAGUGAUGUGAGAAUAAUCACGUUGAGUCUUGUCAAUAGGUAUUCUAGGAAAAGAUUGGGAAAAAACAUGAAUUAAAUGCAAAUUAGCUUCUAGUUUGGGAGCAACCCAUGGCCUCUUCGCUGAUAUUGUACUUGGUUGACUAGGUCAUGUACGAUUUUAAUAGGUGUAUUUGAAUUUAUGCUUGGAGUCUGUUCUCUUUCCCAACCAAUCCAGUUUUUGUUUUUCCUAUAUAACGGGGAGCUUGUCUCCCAUUUUACUACACCAAAUAAUUUUUAGCAUUGGAGAUUAAGAGCUUGGAGAAAGGAGUAAAGAGAAGAUUUUGGAGAGUUCUUUGUGGUUGGUUUUUCUUCUCCCUUUCUUCGAAUGUUCUUCGAAUAAUUUAAACAUGAGUACUCAUAGUUUAUGUCGUAUUGUGCUCUUGUAUUGCUUUGAUUUUUCAUUUGUAGAAAUAGUGUUUGAAACAUGCAUGCUUUAGUUCUAUGCAUUUACUUGUUUGUUGAAGUAUGUUGAUAUUUUUUCAAAGUAUAGAUACUACUGUAGUAGUUACUUGUACGAGUUCUUCGGGUUGACCCGAUUGAACAUUUAGUGUAUAGAUGAUACUACUUUAAAUGUUUUAUUUGUCUUUUCGUAAUGCGACAGAUGAUCUUUAUUUGUGGUAGCCGAAAUAUGCAUACUUUUCGUGGGUAGCUCGUGAUCGAGUGAACCGAUAUGUUGAAUUUCAUACUUUCUCAG
rnacentral:lncRNA from 1 species